AGGAGGAACAACCGCAGUGGCGGGGCCAGCUCUGCAGCCCUGGAGUCAGCUCCCGCAGUAACCACAGAGCUCUCUGUCUGCAGGGCCUGGAGGCUCCGGGGUGGG
rnacentral:pre_miRNA from 1 species